UACGAAGGGGGCUAGCGUUGUUCGGAAUCACUGGGCGUAAAGGGCGCGUAGGCGGCCGAUCAAGUCGGGGGUGAAAGCCCGGGGCUCAACUCCGGAACUGCCUUUGAAACUAGGUAGCUAGAAUCUUGGAGAGGCGAGUGGAAUUCCGAGUGUAGAGGUGAAAUUCGUAGAUAUUCGGAAGAACACCAGUGGCGAAGGCGACUCGCUGGACAAGUAUUGACGCUGAGGUGCGAAAGCGUGGGGAGCAAACAGG
rnacentral:rRNA from 1 species